rnacentral:rRNA from 1 species
CCUACGGGAGGCAGCAGUGAGGAAUAUUGGUCAAUGGACGAGAGUCUGAACCAGCCAAGUAGCGUGAAGGAUGACUGCCCUAUGGGUUGUAAACUGCUUUUAUGAAGGGAUAAAAUGCGGCACGUGUGCUUUUUUGCAUGUACUUUAUGAAUAAGGAUCGGCUAACUCCGUGCCAUCAGCCGCGGUAAUACGGAGGGUCCGAUCGUUAUCCGGAUUUAGUGGGUUUAAAGGGAGCGUAGGUGGGUUGGUAAGUCUGUUGUGAAAGUUUGGGGCUCAACCGUAGAAGUGCAGCUCAUACGGGCAGUCUUGAGUACAGGGAAGGUAUGCGGAAUUCGUGGUGUAGCGGUGAAAUGCUUAGAUAUCACGAAGAACCCCGAGUGCGAAGGCAGCUUACUAAACCGGUACUGACAUUGAUGCUCGAAAGUGUGGGUAUCAAACAGGAUUAGAUACCCCUGUAGUC